UGACAUUUACGGCGUUAAUCAAAUCUAUGCCAGUUGUACUCCUCGAAUUCAAAUUGAAACUGUCACAAGCCAACAAACUCAAAUAUACUUCGAUUCUAAAAUUCCAACACAAACUUAACGACAAAACUUGAACCAGCAAAUUUAAUUUGGUAAAAACUCAAGCAGAGACAUAAAUAACAAAAUCUGGCGAUGCAGUUUUGUUCGAUAUAAUAUGCAAAAAAACACAGUAGUCCAGGCUCGAAAAACAGAAGCGAAAUCUGGUGACAAGGAUCGACGGAACCCUGAACCUCGCCGAAAAAUUUGAACCAAACCAGAAACACAAAACUAACGGCCUCCUUGAUAGUAAUGGAUGAUUUGGAGUAUUUCGGGCUGUUUCACAUUGUUUUGACGGAACUUCUCUUAUGUCCGUAACAUUGGAGUUAUGACAGUAACGGGUUGUUGUUUCUCAUUUGUUUCUUCCUUAUUUCCGGCGAGCUUUGAGAGGGGGCUGGAAGUUAUGGAGAUUGGGGGGUCAUUUGGUGUGAGGGAGAGGGGUGUGGUGGAGGAUGAAUCAAUUUUUACGAAGAGGAGAAGAAGAAGCAAAGGUUCCGGCGUUCUGUUUUGUUGGUGACGUGAGUUUGGCGUGAGUAGGGUUCAGGGGUGCGGCGGGCUGAUGGCUUUUUGGUGAUCUGUUGGUAGAAAUGGCUGAAAAUAGGUGUGCGGCAAUGGAGAGGGUGAAACUUGGCAGCAGCGCUAGUUUUUCCGGUGAGUUUUGGGCGUGGAGGAGGGGGCUUCUCAGGUUAUUAGUGUUUUUUGUGUUCAAUGUAGUCAGGAAGAUGGCCAUGACCGAAGGGUUUUUAGGUUCUAAGGUUUUUUAUGGGUUUAAGGAUAGUGUGC
rnacentral:lncRNA from 1 species